AUUGGGCAGGUGAUGCAUCUCAUUUUCUUAAUGGGUAAUUUGCGUCUGAACUAUUUCAUUGAUGCUAUAUCACCUUGGAGACCUGAUGCCCUUG